AAGGGGCACUUCUACGCAAACUCUUCGAACAGUCGAAUGAUGUUGCGUCAGAGACCGUUUCGGACUCAUACGUAGUCCGGCGGACGCUCAUGGGUGGAACACUGACAACCUUCAUCGCACUCGAUCGGUACUCAGUGACCGGUCGCGGUGGAUAUACCGACACACUAUUGGGUCCUGAAAGAACAGACGACAGUCUUUCUUUCCAGGCAAAAAACGAUCUGCUCGGAUCUUCUGAGAAACUGCUGGCUGUGCCGGUAAGUCCUGAUAUCCCAUCCGAGUGGGUGUGUUGUUUGAGAACUGCACAGUGGACGCGAGCAUCUUUGUUA
rnacentral:misc_RNA from 1 species